UACGUAGGCACCAAGCGUUGUCCGGAUUUAUUGGGCGUAAAGCGCGUUCAGGCGGUUCGGCAAGUCGGGCAUGAAAUCUCUCGGCUCAACCGGGAGAGGUUGUCCGAUACUGCUGGACUUGAGGGCAGUAGAGGGUGGUGGAAUUCCGGGUGUAGUGGUGAAAUGCGUAGAUAUCGGGAGGAACACCAGUGGCGAAGGCGGCUUUCUGGUCUGCUCUUGACGCUGAGGCGCGAAAGCUAGGGUAGCAAACGGG
rnacentral:rRNA from 1 species